rnacentral:rRNA from 1 species
UACGUAGGUGGCAAGCGUUACUCGGAAUCACUAGGCGUAAAGCGCAGGUAGGAGGUUUGAUAAGUCUGUUGUGAAAGCUCCCGGCUUAACUGGGAGAGGCCAACGGAAACUGUCAGGCUGGAGUGCGGUAGAGGUAGCUGGAAUUCCCGGUGUAGCGGUGAAAUGCGUAGAUAUCGGGAGGAAUACCUAUGGCGAAAGCAGGCUACUGGACCGUCACUGACUCUGAUCUGCGAAAGCUAGGGGAGCAAACAGGAUUAGAUACCCGCGUAGUCC